rnacentral:piRNA from 1 species
AUCCGGUCCUCGUUGUUUUGGCUAUGGCCAGU